rnacentral:rRNA from 1 species
AUUGAACGCUGGCGGCAGGCUUAACACAUGCAAGUCGAGCGGAGAGAGGUAGCUUGCUACUGAUCUUAGCGGCGGACGGGUGAGUAAUGCUUAGGAAUCUGCCUAUUAGUGGGGGACAACAUUUCGAAAGGAAUGCUAAUACCGCAUACGUCCUACGGGAGAAAGCAGGGGAUCUUCGGACCUUGCGCUAAUAGAUGAGCCUAAGUCGGAUUAGCUAGUUGGUGGGGUAAAGGCCUACCAAGGCGACGAUCUGUAGCGGGUCUGAGAGGAUGAACCGCCACACUGGGACUGAGACACGGCCCAGACUCCUACGGGAGGUAGCAGUGGGGAAUAUUGGACAAUGGGCGGAAGCCUGAUCCAGCCAUGCCGCGUGUGUGAAGAAGGCCUUAUGGUUGUAAAGCACUUUAAGCGAGGAGGAGGCUACUUUAGUUAAUACCUAGAGGUAAUGGACGUUACUCGCAGAAUAAGCACCGGCUAACUCUGUGCCAGCCGCCGCAGUAA